GAGGGUAUAGCUCAGUGGUAGAGCACAUGCUUAGUAUGCAUGAAGUCCUGAAUUCAAUCCCCAGUACCUCCU
rnacentral:tRNA from 1 species